UACGUAGGGUGCAAGCGUUGUCCGGAAUUAUUGGGCGUAAAGAGCUCGUAGGCGGUUUGUCGCGUCGAAUGUGAAAACCCUGGGCUCAACCCCGGGCCUGCAUUCGAUACGGGCAGACUAGAGUGCGGUAGGGGAGACUGGAAUUCCUGGUGUAGCGGUGAAAUGCGCAGAUAUCAGGAGGAACACCGAUGGCGAAGGCAGUGUUCUGGGCCAGUACUGACGCUGAGGAGCGAAAGCGUGGGGAGCAAACAGG
rnacentral:rRNA from 1 species